AACGUAGGAGGCAAGCGUUAUCCGGAGUUACUGGGCGUAAAGAGUGCGUAGGCGGAUCUGUAAGUGGGUGGUGAAAGCGCCCGGCUAAACCGGGCGAGGUCCAAUCAGACUGCAGGUCUAGAGGCGGAUAGAGGGGUGCGGAAUUCCGGGUGUAGCGGUGAAAUGCGUAGAGAUGCGGAGGAACACCGAUGGCGAAGGCAGCCCCCUGGGCUAACACUGACGCUCAGGCACGAAAGCGUGGGGAGCAAACAGG
rnacentral:rRNA from 1 species